UUCUGAUUGGUGUCUUUCGCA
rnacentral:piRNA from 1 species